rnacentral:rRNA from 1 species
CGGGUGCGGAACACGUACGCAACCUUCCUUUAACUGGAGAAUAGCCCCUCGAAAGAGGGAUUAAUACUCCGUAACAUGAUGAUAAGGCAUCUUAUUAUUAUUAUAGCUCCGGCGGUUAAAGAUGGGCGUGCGCCUGAUUAGGUAGUUGGCGGGGUAACGGCCCACCAAGCCUGCGAUCAGUAACUGGUGUGAGAGCACGACCAGUCACACGGGCACUGAGACACGGGCCCG